rnacentral:rRNA from 1 species
AUCCUGAAGCACGCCGCGAACUGCGACCACUGCAAGGCCAAGAAGUUUGUGAGCGAGGCCCCAUGAUUCUGCUGUCGCAGUGGGCAGAUCGAGCUGAAGCAACUGGAGCCCAUCCCGGAGCUCAUGAGGCUUUGGUCUAGCACUGAUGCGGAUGCUAGGCAUUUUCGGGAGAACAUACGGUUUUUCAACGGACACUUCUCCUUCACAACCCUCGGCGUCAGCCUCGAUGAAACAUACACAAACAUGAAGUCUGGGGUGUACACGUUCCGGGCGCACGGCACCAUCUACCACAAUGUUCAUUCCUUCGGGCCAACAUCCCGUCCAGAUCAUCUACAGUUGUACUUCUACGACGACGACCCAGGCCUAACCCAUCGCAAGGCUGCCACCGAGCAAUUAGACCAGGAUGUCGUCAAAAAGUUGGUG